CUGCAUACCAGUAGACCUUAGCUGGUUCUUCUCGUGGCCAGCCGAGGGGGACGGUGCAUGCUACAAAGACCUGGGGUUGCUGUGGGCUGCGCUCAGCCUCGUGGCUGAUCGAACUGCAAUGCUCCGACAUAC
rnacentral:snoRNA from 1 species